CUUUCCAAUCUAGCUGGCAAAUAAUUUUUCAUUGCAGCUCCUCAAUUUUUCACACAUCAUGGACCUUACGGGGAAAUCAAUGGGAAUGCAGCACCUCCGUUAGGCGAGCUCUGCCUUAAAGGCAUUGCAAAGCAUAAUAAGUAUGAUUAAUAUUUCUGUUCCUCAAAAACUUCUUGUUAAGCUACUGAUCUUUUCUAAUCUCUCAUGUGGCUCCUUAACACAGGUUUGUCUGCAUCGAUUUAUUUCCGCAGAUCAUUUUAGCUCUCACACAGUUUCAACUCAUCUUGUGUUCUUGACGCAGUUUGUUGCCUCUGGAUAUACUGCAGGACAGAGCGAGCUGGGUAAGCCGGGAAGAUGGGGUGACGAGGUAAAGAAUUUAGAGGACAUGUACACAGAGAGAGAGAGGAUGUCCAUGGGAGCCACGGAGCAGCCACUACAGAGUGAAUAAAAUCAAACAGCAGGAAAGUAGACAAGUAUAUGAGUAGAAAAACAGCAGCUGCAGAAGAAGAAAUUCUCCUCUUGAGCACGCUGCUUAAGGAUGUGGAUCAAGAGGCCAGCUGACCGUAGGGGAUUUAAGAGAGGGUAUUGAGAUUUUCUGUAGCACCUUGAACUCAACCAAUCCAUCAGUGCUCGGUAACUAUUUG
ensembl:lncRNA